rnacentral:rRNA from 1 species
AACGAACGCUUGCGGCGUGCUUAACACAUGCAAGUCGAACGAGAAAGGGACUUCGGUCCUGAGUAAAGUGGCGCACGGGUGAGUAACGCGUAGGUAAUCUACCCCUGUGUUCGGGACAACAUCGGGAAACUGGUGCUAAUACCGGAUACGUUUCACGGAUUGCGAAAUAAGUGAAGGAAAGAUGGCGAUCUCUUCGGAGAGCUAUUGCACGGGGAUGAGCCUGCGUACCAUUAGCUAGUUGGCAGGGUAAGGGCCUACCAAGGCGACGAUGGUUAGCGGGGCUGGGAGGAUGAUCCGCCACACUGGAACUGGAACACGGGCCAGAUUCCUACGGGAGGCAGAAGGGAGGAAUUUUGCACAAUGGGGGAAACCCUGAUGCAGCGACACCGCGUGAGUGACGAAGGUCUUCGGAUCGUAAAGCUCUGUCAGCAGGGAAGAAAUACUUGAUGGCUAAUAUCCAUUGAGUUUGACGGUACCUGCAAAGGAAGCACCGGCUAACUCCGUGCCAGCAGCCGCGGUAAUAC